UACGGGUAUACCACUUUGAAACAUUGGUUCUCACACAGUCACCGAAGUUAAGUCACGUCGAGCCUGGUCAGUACCUAGACGGGUGACCACUUGAGAAUACAAGGUGCUGUAAU